rnacentral:rRNA from 1 species
CUACGGAGGGUGCAAGCGUUACUCGGAAUCACUGGGCGUAAAGUGCGCGCAGGCGGCUAUUUAAGUUGGAUGUGAAAGCCUACGGCUCAACCGUAGAACUGCAUCCAAAACUAUUUAGCUAGAGUGUGGGAGAGGAAGAUGGAAUUAGUUGUGUAGGGGUAAAAUCCGUAGAGAUAACUAGGAAUACCAAAAGCGAAGGCAAUCUUCUGGAACACUACUGACGCUGAGGCGCGAAAGCGUGGGGAGCAAACAGGAUUAGAAACCCUAGUAGUCC